GAUAAACGCUAGCGGCAGGCUUAACACAUGCAAGUCGAGGGGCAGCAUAGGUUGUAGCAAUACGAUUGGUGGCGACCGGCGCACGGGUGCGUAACGCGUAUGCAACCUACCCGUCACAGGGGGAUAAUCCGGAGAAAUCUGGUCUAAUACCCCAUAACAUAUGGAUCGGCAUCGGUUCAUGUUGAAAUUUUCGGAGGUGACGGAUGGGCAUGCGUAGCAUUAGCUUGUUGGUGAGGUAACGGCUCACCAAGGCGACGAUGCUUAGGGGGACUGAGAGGUUUUCCCCCACACUGGUACUGAGACACGGACCAGACUCCUACGGGAGGCAGCAGUGAGGAAUAUUGGUCAAUGGGCGCAAGCCUGAACCAGACAUGCCGCGUGCAGGAUGACGGCUCUAUGAGUUGUAAACUGCUUUUGUACGAGGGUAAAGUGGGUUACGUGUAACCUUUUGAAAGUAUCGUACGAAUAAGGAUCGGCUAACUCCGUGCCAGCCGCCGCAGUAA
rnacentral:rRNA from 1 species